rnacentral:misc_RNA from 1 species
AAAGGAUACAAAUUCAUAUGUUGCAGUGAAGAGAAUAUCAAGGGGGUCUGAGCAAGGGGUCAAAGUGUAUGCAGAAGAAGUGAAGAUCAUUAGUCGACUGAGACACAGGAACCUCGUGCAACUAAUUGGUUGGUGUCACGAACGAAAAGAUCUCUCACUUGUUUGUGAGUUCAUGCCCAAUGGAAGCUUGGAUUCCCAUCUUUUCAGAGAAAAGAGCUUGUUGACGUGGGAGGUGAGGUUCAGAAUUGCUAAAGGCAUAGCUUCAGGAUUGUUGUACUUGCAUGAAG